UGACAGAUUCGUGGCAAGUUCUAAUUGGUCAAUUGUAUCACGUUGAUUGUAGUCAAUUUCAAAUUAAGUAUAUCACUUGCCUUCCACUUUCAAGAUCGAGGCAUCUUGAUAGCUCUGAAAAAGGAAGUAGAAGAGUUGACCAAGACAACCAACUAUGGUAUUAUGUAGUGAGCCAUAGAGUAGAGCUGUGAAGCCGUAAACCAAGCCAGAAUCCAAAUGCUAAGGC
rnacentral:lncRNA from 1 species